UACGUAGGGUGCAAGCGUUAUCCGGAAUUAUUGGGCGUAAAGAGCUCGUAGGCGGUUUGUCGCGUCUGCUGUGAAAACUGGAGGCUCAACCUCCAGCCUGCAGUGGGUACGGGCAGACUAGAGUGCGGUAGGGGAGAUUGGAAUUCCUGGUGUAGCGGUGGAAUGCGCAGAUAUCAGGAGGAACACCGAUGGCGAAGGCAGAUCUCUGGGCCGUAACUGACGCUGAGGAGCGAAAGCGUGGGGAGCGAACAGG
rnacentral:rRNA from 1 species